GAACUAUUUAUGGAAGUGCUUUGAAAGCAUUUUUAGAGAAUUUCUCGUAGUUUU
rnacentral:tRNA from 1 species